GUGUCUUGUCAUCUGGGCAGAUCAGGAUUUCCAUACUGCCUGGCUCCCCCCCCCCUCGAAGGAAAUCACUUUGGAACUGCUAAUGCAGUGGUCUGACUUCACCACCCAGCUCCAUUGUCCCUUGAGAUGGAUGGAUUGCAACAAUUUUCCCUCCACCAAGUUAUUCACCAGGUUGGAUUUUAACCUGAACAGAAAAAAGAAUUUCUCACUCUCUCUCAAGUGUUUCCUUUUUCCCAUUGCAACCGCCAGAUAAGUGGAAUGUGUGCAGGAGGAAGGAUACUUUGGAUUGUAACUUCUAGCCCCGGUCUGAAUCAAAACCUCCCGGGGAACAAAGCCAGGUCUAAUAAAGAAGCAUUUCCACAAGUACUUUACAAACAUAAAGUCAUUCUAUCCCAGACUGAUUGGCUGAAAAUGGAGAAGAGAAAGAGAGAACAGCCUUGUUAUUCAUCACAAUCUCCAUCUUUCAAAUAUCGCGGAGUCUCUGAGGCCAGCCUUGCUUCAAGCACUUUUUCCUCCAGUGCCUCUGUAGACUGCCUUUUGAAGAUGGGAUCUUAAUGACACCAACAACUUGGAAGUGACAUUACAUGGCUGACCUGCAAGAAACAAUUACUCUCAGUGUGAGAUUUAUGAAGAAUGUAAUUCAGAAGGCCAUCAACAGCUGGUCCCCUCUCAGUAUCUCAAAACUGGAGAGAGUCAAAUCUAUCAAAAUGGUUUUAGCUCCCUAGAUUAAUUGCAUGUUUAGAAUUUUUUCUGAUUAAUUAUCUCCGGUGUCUUCAACAUCUGAAGUGUCUUAUUUUGGAAUCAGGGUGAAACAAGACUCUUGCAAGCAAAACUUGGUUUGAUGGCUAGUUGUUGGAAUGGGAUCCAAAACAAUAAAUGUGGGAAAUUCAGUCAUAUUUU